GGUGGCUCAGUGGUAGAGUGUCUGCUUCACAUGCAUGAGGCCCUGAGUUCGAUUCCUCAGCACCA
rnacentral:tRNA from 1 species